UAUUUUUUAAUUUUCCUAAGAAAUAGCUUGAUUUUUCGAGAUUUAAAUAAUUACCAACGAAUAGAAAGUUUCAAAUUAAUUCGAAAUCAAAUGAAAAAUGAAUAAAUAAUUUCAAAUUGCUUUGUGAAGAACACUUAAAUGCAAAUCUGGUUACUUAUCAGUUUUUGAUUACAAUUUAAGUACAAGUUUUCUAAGCAUCAAAGAUGGAUCGAAGAGAAAAAAAUAACCAAAAUACAUAAAAAUUCUCGAAUAUAUUUUCAUGAAAUUCGGACAUAUUGCUACCACUUGGGAAAAUAACGCUAGUUAUUUGAGGUCGAUAUGAACCAAGGAUAAAAUCGGUUCAACACAGUCGCACAUCCAUUUAUUCAGAGUGAGCGUCCCACAACCUUGGUGUGUUCUCAUCUUCAAAAUCCAUUGAUGGUAGUUUCGCAGACUCAUUAAGAACUCAGACCUAAGAAAACUCAACUCCAGCUAUAAUAGUUCUGCGCCACGCCUUUCCACCCUAAUUCGGCAUGCUUGUUAGG